GAAUGAAGAGUUGCGUGGGGCUCGCUCGUUUUCUCUGGAGUUAGUUGCCUCCUAUACAGGGUCGUGUCGAGGUCGUCCUAAACCGUGGCCACUUUCCUGAGUGCACAGCCCGCAGUCGCGCCACAAGACCACCUCCUCCCGGCCCCGGCCUCAUUCCCCACCUCCAGGGAAGAGUCCAGAGCCACAGAAUUAGCUCCUAGAACGCAACCAACAAGAGUCCAGAUGAACCCGCUGUAUUGGGAAACUCACAGUUUUUCAUCUACUCUGGGCACCACAACGUAUUUGCAGGGGCCACAGCAAAAACUACCCUUGAUCAAGCUACGUGCCCCCGCCUGAAGCACAGCAAAUAAACAUCCUGCACAGAGGCAGUAAAAACAAGGGUACAUCUGACAAAGAAUGCACCACACCUGGACAAUUAUUACACAGCUAUACAGGGUGUGCUUGCACGCACGCAUGAAUACCUGUGCGUGGCACAGGGCCCCAGCGGCGGCUUGCUUAUGAUCCCUCCAAGGUGACCAAGCACUGAGCCACCCUGCCUCAGCAGUAAAAUAGACAUAUUUACCAGUCCCUUCAACCCACAGCCAGGAGCUAGGCAAACACCCACAGAGGAGGGAGGACACACUUUAACCCUACAUUCAGCUUGACGAGCCAAACUCUCUGAACCACAGGAGAUAAAACUUCUGCCAUGGAACUGCUAAGGUAGAUAAUCAGCAACCCCCCAAGACUGUGCCUGCUGCACAACUGCAGAACGCAGUGGAAGACACGCUGAAUUCUGAGUCAGAAGGUUGACUUUCUAGCUGUGGGGACUUGGCCAAACCUCCUCAGAGCUUCAGUUUUCUCAUCUGUAAAAUAGAGAUCUUAAUCCCUACCAAUCUCACAGGACUGCUGAGAGUAUCAGAUGAGGUGUGUGUGUGGAAGUUGGAACGGGACAAGCGGAGAAGGCUAAAGUGCUCUGGUUCCAGGAGGAAGCAGGAAGUUAUUUUCAGCGUCUGAGAAGGAGGAAAGGUUUCAGGGUAGAGUGGCGGCAAGAUUCUCAAAGCAAUCCUGUAUGGUGAGAAUUAUUUUUAUUUUACCGACAAAACUGCUGAAGAUCAGAGACAUUGAGUUACUCAUAGAAGAUAUACAGACAGAGCCAAGAUUCAAAUCCCUUGGGUGUCUGGCUCCAAAGUGGAAAUUUUCUCCACGGUGCCAAAGGACUCAUAAACAGAAUGUACAAAGGACUCUUACAAAUCAAUAAUAAAAGGACAAUCAAUUUUUUUAAACAAGCAGAAGACUUCGAUAAACACCGCAUGUAAGAGAAUGUAUGCAUGGCCAAUGAGAACAUAAAAAAGAUGCUCAGUGUUGUUGGUCGUCAGGGAAGUGCAGAUUGAAAAUGCAAUGGGAUACCACUACACACCCGCCAGAAUGGUUAAAAUUUAAAAAUUUUAACAGUACCAAAUGUUAGAGAGGCUGUGAAGCAGCAGGAUGUUUUAUGCAUGGCCAGCAAAAGUAUAAAAUGGUAGAGCCAUUUGGAAAACUGGCAUUUUCUCAUAAAUAUUCACCUAUCAUGUGAUCUAAAAAUUUCAAAAGAAAUGAAACUAUAUGUCUACAAAAAAAGUUGGAUAAGAAUAUUCAUUGUAGCUUUAUUUCUUUUGUUGUUGUUGUUGAAACAGAGUCUCGCUCUGCCGCCCAGGCUGGAGUGCAGUGGAGCCGUCUCAGCUCACUGCAACCUCCGCCUCCCAGGUUCAAGCAAUUCUUGUGCCUCAGCCUCCCGGGUAGCUGAGACUACAGGCACGCACCACCACACCUGGCUGAUUUUUGUAUUUUUAGUAGAGAUGGGGUUUCGCCAUAUUGGCCAGGCUGCUCUCAAACUCCUGACCUUGUGAUCCGCCUGCCUCGGCCUCCCAAAGUGCUGGGAUUACAGGCAUGAGCCACCGCACCUGGCCAUGGCUUUAUUUCUAAAAGCCAGACUUUGGAAACAAUGCCAAUAUCUAUCAAUAGACUAAAGAGAUAAAUUGAGAUUUUUCAUACUGUGAGAUAUUGCCCCACAAUAAAAAGGAGCAAACUAUUAAUGCAUACAACAACGUAGAUGAAUCUCAACAAUAUUAUGUUAAAUGAGAAGCACCAGACACAAAAGAGUACACACAGUGAGUGACUCCACUUAUGUGAAGUCUAGCAACAGGAAAAACGCAUCUAUGGAAAUAGAAAUCAGAAUAGUCAUUGCCUGUGAGAAUGUAGAGGGAGGGUGGGCCACAGGAAAGGAGCACGGGAAAAUUUUUUGGGUGAUGGCAAUUUUCACAUUUUGAUUAAACAAUUACGUUUAAUCAAAUUAUACACUUAAGGUCUGUGUAUUUUACCAUAUGUAAUUAUGCUUCG